GGCGAGUGAAGCGGCAUCAGCUCAAAUUUGAAAUCUGGCUCUUUCAGAGUCCGAGUUGUAAUUUGCAGAGGGCGCUUUGGUGUCGGCAGCGGUCCAAGUUCCUUGGAACAGGACGUCACAGAGGGUGAGAAUCCCGUACGUGGUCGCUGACCUACACCGUGUAAAGCCCCUUCGACGAGUCGAGUUGUUUGGGAAUGCAGCUCUAAAUGGGAGGUAAAUUUCUUCUAAAGCUAAAUACUGGCCAGAGACCGAUAGCGCACAAGUAGAGUGAUCGAAAGAUGAAAAGCACUUUGGAAAGAGAGUUAAACAGCACGUGAAAUUGUUGAAAGGGAAGCGCUUGCAGCCAGACUUGCUUGCAGUUGCUCAUCCGGGCUUUUGCCCGGUGCACUCUUCUGCGAGCAGGCCAGCAUCAGUUUGGACGGUUGGAUAAAGGCCUCUGUCACGUACCUUCUCUCGGGAAGGCCUUAUAGGGGAGGCGUCAUGCAACCAGUCUGGACUGAGGUCCGCGCAUCUGCU
rnacentral:rRNA from 1 species